rnacentral:rRNA from 1 species
GACGAACGCUGGCGGCGCGCCUAACACAUGCAAGUCGAACGAGCGAGAGAGAGCUUGCUUUCUCAAGCGAGUGGCGAACGGGUGAGUAACGCGUGAGGAACCUGCCUCAAAGAGGGGGACAACAGUUGGAAACGACUGCUAAUACCGCAUAAGCCCACGGCUCGGCAUCGAGCAGAGGGAAAAGGAGCAAUCCGCUUUGAGAUGGCCUCGCGUCCGAUUAGCUAGUUGGUGAGGUAACGGCCCACCAAGGCGACGAUCGGUAGCCGGACUGAGAGGUUGAACGGCCACAUUGGGACUGAGACACGGCCCAGACUCCUACGGGAGGCAGCAGUGGGGAAUAUUGCACAAUGGGGGAAACCCUGAUGCAGCGACGCCGCGUGGAGGAAGAAGGUCUUCGGAUUGUAAACUCCUGUUGUUGAGGAAGAUAAUGACGGUACUCA